UACAGAGGUGCCGAGCGUUAGGCGGAAUCACUGGGCUUAAAGCGUGUGUAGGCGGGUCGUUAAGUGUCUUGUGAAAUCCCACCGCUCAACGGUGGAACUGCUGGGCAUACUGGCGAUCUUGAGCCACCUAGGGGCAGACGGAACAAGCGGUGGAGCGGUGAAAUGCGUAGAUAUCGCUUGGAACGCCGACGGUGAAAACAGUCUGCUGGGGGUGUGCUGACGCUGAGACACGAAAGCCAGGGGAGCGAACGGG
rnacentral:rRNA from 1 species